rnacentral:rRNA from 1 species
UGGGGAAUAUUGCACAAUGGGCGCAAGUCUGAUGCAGCCAUGCCGCGUGUGUGAAGAAGGCCUUCGGGUUGUAAAGCACUUUCAGCGGGGAGGAAGGCGAUAAGGUUAAUAACAUCAUCGAUUGACGUUACCCGCAGAAGAAGCACUGGCUAACUCCGUGCCAGCAGCCGCGGUAAUACGGAGGGUGCAAGCGUUAAUCGGAAUUACUGGGCGUAAAGCGCACGCAGGCGGUCUGUCAAGUCGGAUGUGAAAUCCCCGGGCUCAACCUGGGAACUGCAUUCGAAACUGGCAGGCUAGAGUCUUGUAGAGGGGGGUAGAAUUCCAGGUGUAGCGGUGAAAUGCUUAGAGAUCUGGGGGAAUACCGGUGGCGAAGGCGGCCCCCUGGACAAAGACUGACGCUCAGAUGCGAAAGCGUGGGGAGCAAACAGG